GACGAACGCUGGCGGCGUGCUUAACACAUGCAAGUCGAACGGAAAGGCCCCGCUUUUGUGGGGUGCUCGAGUGGCGAACGGGUGAGUAACACGUGAGUAACCUGCCCUUUACUUUGGGAUAACUUCAGGAAACUGGGGCUAAUACCGGAUAUGAGCUCCUGCUGCUUGGUGGGGGUUGGAAUGGUUGGGCGGUUGGGGAUGGACUCGGGGCUUAUCAGCUUGUUGGUGGGGGAGUGGCUUACCAAGGCUUUGAUGGGUAGCCGGCCUGGGGGGGUGACCGGCCACAUUGGGACUGGGAUACGGCCCAGACUCCUACGGGAGGCAGCGGGGGGGAAUAUUGCACAAUGGGCGGAAGCCUGAGGCAGCAACGCCGGGUGCGGGAUGACGGCCUUCGGGUUGUAAACCGCUUUCGCCUGUGACGAAGCGUGAGUGACGGUAAUGGGUAAAGAAGCACCGGCUAACUACGUG
rnacentral:rRNA from 1 species